rnacentral:rRNA from 1 species
AUGCGGUACCUUGGACUACCUCUGUCGGUCGUGAGACUAAAGCGCAUCCACUUCCAGUACCUUGAGGACAAGAUUGCAGGCAAGCUUCCUCCCUGGUCGGCUCUGCACGUGGCUACCCCUGGACGCAUUGUGUUGGUCAAGGCAGUCCUCACGGCCAUUGCGAUUUAUCACCUGACGCCCCUUGAGCUCCCUGUAGAAGUAAGGAAGAAAAUUGACAGCCUCAGGCGGGCAUACCUUUGGGCAGGUUGUGACAAGGUCUCUGGAGGCAAGUGUAAGGUGAAUUGGGACCUUGUCUGCAAACCCAAGAUUUUGGGGGGUUUGGGUGUGCUCAACCUGGAGAAGUUCGCGGCCGCCCUUCGUCUACGUUGGCUCUGGUUCAACUGGGCUGACCCUCCCAAUACUUGGGUGGGAAUGGAAAUGCCAUGCUCUGACUGCGACUUAGAUCUUUUUGCGGCGGCCACAACGGUGACACUGGGUGAUGGUAAUAAGGCAAAAUUUUGGGAAUCUUCAUGGCUGAAUGGCCUUCAGCCGAAAGACAUUGCGCCUAAAUUUUUUUGA